GACGGAGGAUGCAAGCGUUAUCCGGAAUGAUUGGGCGUAAAGCGUCCGCAGGUGGCAGUUCAAGUCUGCUGUCAAAGACCGGGGCUUAACUUCGGAAAGGCAGUGGAAACUGAACAGCUAGAGUAUGGUAGGGGCAGAGGGAAUUCCUGGUGUAGCGGUGAAAUGCGUAGAGAUCAGGAGGAACACCAGCGGCGAAGGCGGCGCUCUGGGCCGGAACUGACGCUGAGGAGCGAAAGCGUGGGGAGCAAACAGG
rnacentral:rRNA from 1 species